CAAAUCCAAACAAAUUUAAUAACAAAUUGGAAUGAUACGGAGAAGAUUAGCACGCCCCCUAUGCAAAGAUGACACAUACAAAUUUAAAAAUGGCAUCAGAGCAG